GUUAUGGUUAAGGUUAGGGCUGGGUUAAGUUUAGAUUAGGUUAAGGGUUUGGUUAAGGUUAGGGCUAGGUUAAGUUUAGAUUAGGUUAAGGGUUUGGUUAAGGUUAGGGCUAGGUUAAGUUUAGAUUAGGUUAAGGGUUUGGUUAAGGUUAGGGCUAGGUUAAGUUUAGAUUAGGUUAAGGGUUUGGUUAAGGUUAGGGCUAGGUUACGUUUAGAUUAGGUUAAUGUUAUGGUGAAGGUUAAGGCUAGGUUAAGUUUAGAUUAGGUUAAUGUUAUGGUGAAGGUUAGGGCUAGGUUAAGUUUAGAUUAGGUUAUGGUUAAGGUUAGGGAUGGGUUAAGUUUAGAUUAGGUUAAGGGUUUGGUUAAGGUUAGGGCUAGGUUAAGUUUAGAUUAGGUUAAGGGUUUGGUUAAGGUUAGGGCUAGGUUAAGUUUAGAUUAGGUUAAGGGUUUGGUUAAGGUUAGGGCUAGGU